GCCUGGGUAGCUCAGUCAGUUAAGCAUCUGACUUUAGCUCAGGUCAUGAUCUCACAGUUCGUGGGUUCAAGCCCAUCAUCGGGCU
rnacentral:tRNA from 1 species